GGGUUUUCAUCCUUUAUCAUGGGAAGUUGUAUGUAUGCCUAAAAUGCCAGGUGGAUUGGGCCUCUCUUCCUUAAUAUGUAGAAGGCAUAAUAUAUUUUGCAAAUUAGCUACCUAGGUGGCCUUGAUUCUACCUCGUUAUGUGCUAAAUUAGUUCAGGCUAAAUACCAUUUCUAUGGGUCUUGGGUGCACUAUCACAAACCACAACACUCUUCUACU
rnacentral:lncRNA from 1 species